rnacentral:rRNA from 1 species
AUGAUGAAAUUUGCAGCAGGUACAAGCAGCAAAGCUCUGCAUGCAUUGGACGUACAAGCCACCCUAUACACAGUGACUUGGAUCGGUAGAUGUAGAUCACCAAGCAGCAAAUCACGCUGGAAGGCGGCCUACAAUCCACGCCUGCGGCCACAGUCCACGGGACGCACAACCAGAGGCCACGCGACGCAGGAGGACGGCCUAGCACGAGCGGUCGGUCGUCGCAGCUGCGCGGCAGACACCGUGAUGCAGGCGAUCUCAGUGGAGAGGGACGCGCGGAUAGACGCAGACUUCCCUCGGGAGCCACGGCCGCGCCUGGACAUGUAG